rnacentral:rRNA from 1 species
AUUGAACGCUGGCGGCAGGCCUAACACAUGCAAGUCGAGCGGGGUUUUCGGACCUAGCGGCGGACGGGUGAGUAAUGCGUAGGAAGCUACCCGAUAGAGGGGGAUACCAGUUGGAAACGACUGUUAAUACCGCAUAAUGUCUACGGACCAAAGUGUGGGACCUUCGGGCCACAUGCUAUCGGAUGCGCCUACGUGGGAUUAGCUAGUUGGUGGGGUAAUGGCUCACCAAGGCGACGAUCCCUAGCUGGUUUGAGAGGAUGAUCAGCCACACUGGCACUGAGACACGGUCCAGCCUCCUACGGGAGGCAGCAGUGGGGAAUAUUGGACAAUGGGCGCAAGCCUGAUCCAGCCAUGCCGCGUGUGUGAAGAAGGCCUUCGGGUUGUAAAGCACUUUCAGUAGGGAGGAAGGGUGUUGUGUUAAUAGCACAGCAUUUUGACGUUACCUACAGAAGAAGCACCGGCUAACUCUGUGCCAGCAGCCGCCGUAAGAC